CAAAAGGGAGCAAGUGCCUCCUACUCUCCAAAUCUAUGUUUCCUCUAGACAGUUUCUCUAAGAAAUAAACCAAGGUCCUUUAUCUUACCUCUGUCAUACCUCUUAACUAAAGUUUGCAAAAUAAUAUCCCCAGUGUCCUUGAAUGAUAUGAUCUUCCCUCUCACGCCAAGCACAUCUCUUGAAUGCAGAGAAACUGGAUUCCUUUCCCAAAAUUGACUCAGCAGGAGCACUGGACUCAGUUAAGCCCCACGUAGGCAAGUGUUGGGAGUUCAUGCUUUGCCCUUGGGAAGAAAUCUCCCACCUACAUUAUUAGAAGGUAAUUCCUAGCUGGAAAAGCAGUAUAAAGACCCAGGAGCCGAGUCUACCUCCAUCUUGAGAAAAGAGGUUGGAAUGAAAUCGGUGCUAAUGCUACAAAUAAAAGUUGUUAUUCAAUAGAAGAAAAAUCGGAGAUUUAAAUGACGAGUGUUAUAGCUGCUGCUUGUUCUUGAAAGCGUGUUCAUACAGGGCAGGUGCUGAUUACAGCACGCUGUGUUUAUGCAGUCCAACAGAAAUAAGCUGUUGACAAAAGAAAGAGAACAGAUCUCAGAAAACAAGCACCGAUAAUAUGUUACGGCGUUUCUUCCUUUCUCUUGGUUUAACAUAUUUGAAAACCGCCACCCUUUACAGUAAUUGACAAGACAGUGCAGGCAGUUUUGCUUUCUGGGAUGUUGGAUGUCAUGUGUCAUGACUGUGAUCCAUCCGUUGCGAGUUAAAUUGGGCUAUUGGACUUGUGGCCACACGUCUGUUCUCAGCCCAAUGGUUUGUUUAUUUAACCAUUUUUGUUAGAGACUCUCAGCCCAUCAAGAAGGAGGUUUGAUUUUAAAAAUUAAUCUUGAGAAGAAAAGAGCAAAUACAAAUACAGUGUUUCUUGGUCAAUUCAAUUCAGUUCUCAAUCAAUACCGUUUUGAGAUGCUGACUGUCAUGAAGGUAACAGGCACUAAUAAACAAGAUACACGCCAUCAUGAAAAGGCCAACUUAAUAGAUCCAGCCUGUUAAUUUUACGAUGGAUAUAUUUAAAACAACAGCAACAAAAUAAGUCUCUUGCAUCCACUGGACCUCUGCACAGGCUUUCAGUACUAGAUGUUAUCAAAUAGCCCUACCGCAUGAACAUGCCAGUCAAUCACAGGAUCUGCACAGUCGUCAUGGAGCCAGACCUGCACUCCCCAUGACGCUGGUUUGCGCUGAGCAUAAAGGCGGCUACUACUUGCUCCUGCCCUGCUGUGUCUUCAUGAGGACACAUCCCAUUGAGGCUGGUUUCUCCACAUUACAUCCUCUGGGUGCUCCAUUGGAACUACCAGCUGACUUAUAAGUACAGAAGUUUCUCCUCAUGCCAUGAUUUUCUCUAUUCACAGACAUACUUUUGGUCACAUUUUUAGCCACAUACUCCUUAGUCUCUGCUUGUAUAAUUCCUCCUCCUUAUAUGUGAGACACAGGAAUUCCCUUCUUUUGCUCUCUGGUCCUCUUUUACGUUGGUCAGCUCACCACAGUCACAUACAGACUGUCACUUGAUGUUGUGAAAUUUAGUCUCGGAAGAGUCGUUCAGGGGCAGUGAAAGUAGAGGUUAAAAUCACCUGUCACUUUCAGUGAAAGGAGGAAACAUGUUUAAAAAGACAAAUGAAGUAAGCUCACCUUUAAAAAAUUUUGGUAUAUUUUGGGGUGGGGUGAAAAUGCUAUACAUCCACGGGCAACUAUAAAUUAAACUUGAGCUGUGAAAUCUGACCUCUUCACAUAUCUGAAUAAACAUGUGAGAAAGAA